GGUGAAGAACGUAGCGAAAUGCGAUACGUAAUGUGAAUUGCAGAAUUCAGUGAAUCAUCGAGUCUUUGAACGCACAUUGCGCCCCCUGGUAUUCCGGGGGGCAUGCCUGUCCGAGCGUCAUUGCUGCCCUCAAGCACGGCUUGUGUGUUGGGCCUCCGUCCUCCUCCCGGGGGACGGGCCCGAAAGGCAGCGGCGGCACCGCGUCCGGUCCUCGAGCGUAUGGGGCUUCGUCACCCGCUCUUGUAGGCCCGGCCGGCGCUUGCCGACACAUCAAUCUUUUUUCCAGGUUGACCUCGGAUCAGGUAGGGAUACCCGCUGAACUUAAGCAUAUCAAUAAGCGGAGGA
rnacentral:misc_RNA from 1 species